rnacentral:rRNA from 1 species
GGCGUCCUUCGGGCGUCCGAGUUGUAAUCUAUAGAAGUGUUUUCCGUGCCGGACCAUGUCCAAGUCCCUUGGAACAGGGUAUCAAAGAGGGUGACAAUCCCGUACUUGACAUGACCACCGGUGCUCUGUGAUACACUUUCUACGAGUCGAGUUGUUUGGGAAUGCAGCUCAAAAUGGGUGGUAAAUUCCAUCUAAAGCUAAAUAUUGGCGAGAGACCGAUAGCGAACAAGUACCGUGAGGGAAAGAUGAAAAGCACUUUGGAAAGAGAGUUAAACAGUACGUGAAAUUGUUGAAAGGGAAACGAUUGAAGUCAGUCGUGUUCUUUGGACUCAGCCGGUUCUUCCGGUCUAUUUCCUUUGAACGGGUCAACAUCAGUUUUGUCCGGUGGAUAAAGGCAGGAAGAAAGUGGCUCCCUCGGGAGUGUUAUAGCUUUCUGUCACAUACACUGGAGGAGACUGAGGACUGCAGCUCGCCUUUUGGCCGGGGUUCGCCCACGUUCGAGCUUAGGAUGUUGACAUAAUGGCUUUAAACGACCC